UGUUACUCCUUCCAGCCAGCUUUAAACGCUUGUGGUCUGAAAUGGUCAUCUGUUAUUUUGGAGAUAAUAAAUCCAAAUAAAUCUAUAGACAGCCCAUCCUGCAGUACUGGCGAUGCAGUGCUUGUGACACGCAGAAAUCCAUCUGAACUCUGAUGCUGCUAAGGAUGGUAUUGCAGAACACGGAUUGGCACCUUUUCUGUGUGAGUGCCCUUCCCUGGCUCAGCGCCCGGUGCCAACAGAACACCUUGCAGGAUCCUCAGCAGCGCAGACAACACAACGUAAGUAGCCAGCUGUCCCUUGACGCCCUCUUCCAAAAGCCCUCCGGCCCCUGCAGAGUGUGUGCGGCUCUUUCCCUCGCUCACCCUCCGGAGUGCCACCUGGGUUUCACAAGUAGCACCUUCCAAAUCUCUCUGUCUUCAAGUUUGUGCAUGUCUGUGUGGCAUCCCUCCUCCUCCUUCACUCCUAUAGUGGAUCUUGCAAAGGGCUUCAGAUCGGCCCCAUUCAUCUCCCUGGUGAUAGCAGUGAAUGUAGAUAAAUCUCUGACUGCCUGCUUGCUGCUGGAGUAUGAUUUUUAUUUUGUCUUCCGUGUAUACCUAGGUCAAAAAGUGGGAUGUAUGCUCACACUGUGUGGAUGCGUGUGCGUGUGUGAAUUUGUCUCUCCCAAGCACACAAACGUACAUCUCCUCACACGUGUAUGUACGCAUAUUACAUGCGUGCACACAGAUAUAUAUCCCCGCACAUGUAUGUGUGCACACAGUACACACACAUCUCCGCACACACGCACACACACUCAUACUUCUAAUCUGCAAUUAUCUGAGGCAUUGUGUGCAUGUGUGUAUGUGUGUCCACACGCACACUGCUCUGUGUGUAUGUGCAUACACAGGCAUCUCGCUAUCUACAAACAUUCCCUCUCCUCCCAGCAGAGGCUGUGUGCAGCUGUGAUCCUGCCCUAUGAGAGCGGUAUUCCUUCCUUCCCUCGGCGUGCUGUUUGGAGACCUUCGUGCUCCCCUCUCGGGUCCCUCCCGAGCUGCAGGGCUGGCACCUCUCCCUCAGCUUGUCCGAAUGGCGAAUGGCACUGUCCGUCGCCCGCGUUGGUACAGCCUCAGAUGGCACUUCUCUCUGGAUGUCGGCUGCUCCCUUUUGUUUGUUGUUGCCCAAUCUGGGUGUGGUGGGGCUUUUUUUGGAGUUAAUUGUAAAUGAACCUGAAUGGCAAACACAUCAACAGCUUGCGAAAAAAGAGAAAAGAGAAAAAAAAAAGAAAAGAAAGCCCCUCACAAACGCCUUCUGCUGCGACAGAUGCCCAUGUUGCCCCUGGCACGGCGAGCGGGCAUGAGGGGGUUGUUGCCAAGCCUUUUUCUUUUGCCGUUUUUAUUGUCCGCGUUGCCGAUUUCCCUUUAUUUUUGAAGCCUCCAAGAUGCCGGCCUCGGCAUGGAGCGGCGCGGUGUCAUGGCGGAGACGACGGCCUUUGUCUCGCGGGGUGUGAAAGCAUCCGUUGUGCUGGCUCCACUGCGGCAGAAUGACGUUCAAGGGGGAAACGUGCUGGAAGCCGGCGUGCUGUGCCCAUAGCCGAGCGUGUCCAAGGCAGGGCUGGCGGCGGAGAGCCUCGUCUGUAAUCCUGGCACUUGCGCCUCUGCUCGCUGCGCGCCGCUUGCUCCUGGGGGUCUGGAUAAUCUCCCUUAGCGUUACCGCACUGUCUGGCCCGCGCACAGGGCCCCCGUAACAUAUACCCGCUGCCGUUAUCACACGGAACUGUGGCGUUGCCACUGAAUGGAUGGCACUGUGCCAACUCUUCUGCCAUCCGCCCUUGCAGCUUUUUUUUCUUCCCUCCUCCCUCCCUCUCUCCCCUCCUCCUCCUCCUCCCGUCGACUUGACGUUAAUUAACACACGGGUUAAUUGAUUUUAAAAGCUGAAGAAUUACAGUUAACUUUUCCCACAGGGUACAGCCGCCUGGCACGGCGCUGCCGCUCGUGCGGUGCAGGGGGGCAGGGAUGCGCCCACAGCAGAGCUGGGUGGCUGCAGAGGCUCUGUCUUUGGAGCACGGCGGAAGGAAGCUGAUGUGCGCCCGUCUCAUCCUUCCCAAGAUGUCACCAUCAUGUUUUGCGACAAACAGUCCCAAUGCUCCCUCCCCUCUGCGCUCAAUGGCUGCACGGGCUCUGCUGGAGGGGCAGCAGGAGGGCAGCUCGGCCGCGUGGCGGGGCUCCCAUCCGCGCAAGC
ensembl:lncRNA